rnacentral:rRNA from 1 species
UUAGCGGCGGACGGGUGAGUAAUGCUUAGGAAUCUGCCUAUUAGUGGGGGGACAACAUCUCGAAAGGGAUGCUAAUACCGCAUACGUCCUACGGGAGAAAGCAGGGGAUCACUUGUGACCUUGCGCUAAUAGAUGAGCCUAAGUCGGAUUAGCUAGUUGGUGGGGUAAAGGCCUACCAAGGCGACGAUCCCUAGCUGGUCUGAGAGGAUGACCAGCCACACUGGAACUGAGACACGGUCCAG